UUACGUUGCAUGAAGCAGUUCAAAUAAGAUAAAUACUUUUAUUAAUGCUUUUUAAUGUAUAAAAAUACAUAACACUAACUUGAUCAUGGUCCCAUCAACACCUCUAUAGGCUUUGUUCAGGCAUUUAAUCUAGAAGAGUCUUACCUUCUUUGAGGAAAUUCAUUAAAAAAAAAGCCGGUGCAGUCUUGAAGUGAAAGUCAUUCAACAUAUUGUGCAUGAAGUACAAGAAUUUCUAAAAAUAACUCAUCCCAUAAGAUUUCAUGUGAUUUUUGUAUCUUCAUCAUAAUGCUUCUAUAAAUAAGAGAGAAAUCUCAGAUAAAUGAGUAGCCAAGUUUUGCGUUCAAAACCUAGAGGCUGGACAAAUAAUUGAGAGAUUGGUGAAGGAGCAGGACUACCUUUUUGGGAGACUAAAUCCUGUCUCUGUUUUCAAACACACAGCUGCCUCUGAAUCUCGAGUUUUAACCUCACAAAAUAGACUGCAGGGGGCUCCGGGGCUGCCUCUGAUUUGGUUUUUUCAUUUAAAAAAAAAGAAAAGAAAAACAGAGAGCCCUCUGCCUUUCCUUUAUUCGAAGAUAAUCAGCAAAUGCCUUUUGCACCCAGGCAAAGAUGCACAAGAAAAAAGGUAGAGAAAAUAUGACCAUAUCUUUGGUGACCCUACUGAAAUACGAACUUGGAUACUUUGGUACCAUGCCCUCGUUUUCCAAACGUGUGCCCACUUCCUACUUUUCUUCGUCGUGAAGGCAAAGCCCAGAUUCCAGAGUCCAUAACAGCAUUUAAUGCGUUG
rnacentral:lncRNA from 1 species